rfam:Aedes albopictus isolate Foshan contig25587, whole genome shotgun sequence.
UGGCCUAGUGGUUAAGGCUAUGGAUCGUCAAUCCGGAAACGGCGGGUUCGAUUCCCGU